UGUUCAUCCAUAGAGCAGAGAUGACAAAUAGACUGGUGAUCAGUACGGCAGAACAUCUUCAUCACCUCAUCAUGAAGAGAGCAGAUGUUCUGUUGGAGCUUCUUGCAGGGGUCCACCAGCUUGUGUUUUUCAAAAGCAGGGGAUUCAAAGUGAGGCUGAAGGUGUUUCUCACAGUAAGAGAUACAACAGACCAGACAGGACUUUAGGGCUUUCAGUUUUCUCCCAGCGCAGACAUCACAGACCACAUCUUCA